rnacentral:antisense_RNA from 1 species
AGUGACAAUGCCGCAGGUGUUUUAAAGGGGAGUAAGGGAGAUAAAACGGUAAUCACAAGCCAUGUGACGCUGCCGCAGGUGUUUAACGGGGAGUAAGAGAGAUAAAAGGUUCCCAGAAAGCAAGCUGCUGAUGGGAAGGGAGCAGAAAGCUCUCCGAGGGGUCUGCUCAGCAGGCGGCUGGAAAGAGAAGGGCGGCCUGGCAGGGCUCCCUAGGAUGACCUGGGCAUCACCCCAGGGCUGGGGGAAGGGGCUGCCGCUCCCUGGGCCUGAGGCAGGCGGCUGUAGGGCGGAGGCCUUACCCUCCAGCUGGCUGGCCGCCUGGUUUCCACCUGCUCGCUCCACGUCCCUCUGCUCGCGAGGCUCGGGCGGCAGCCCAGCCCCUGGAGCCGGCUUCUCCGCUGGGAGGGGAGGCUUCCCACCUGCACACACGGUGAAGACUCAGAAGGUUUUGUAGGAAAGUCAAGGGAGGGUUUGGGGGACAGAAGGCAAGGGUGGGACAAAAGGAAGUGGCAGAUGUUUCUAAAGUGACACCCCCGUCAGCACAGUUUAUAUUCAACCUGAUGAUUACUAGCGAAGCAAUAAAAAAAUAUUUAACAACCUCA